rnacentral:rRNA from 1 species
UACGGAGGGUGCGAGCGUUGUCCGGAAUCACUGGGCGUAAAGGGCGCGUAGGCGGCAUGCCAAGCGUGUGGUGAAAGCCCGGGGCUCAACCCCGGGUCGGCCGUGCGGACUGGCGUGCUCGAGCACUGUAGGGGCGGGUGGAAUUCCGGGUGUAGCGGUGGAAUGCGUAGAUAUCGGGAGGAACACCUGUGGCGAAGGCGGCCCCCUGGUUGGAUACUGACGCUGAGACGCGAAAGCGUGGGGAGCAAACAGG